rnacentral:rRNA from 1 species
AGAGUUUGAUCCUGGCUCAGGACGAACGCUGGCGGCGUGCUUAACACAUGCAAGUGGAGCGACGAACCAGGGGCUUGCCCCUGGGGCAGAGCCGCGAACGGGUGAGUAACACGUGGGCAACCUGCCCCGAUGACCGGGACAACCCGAGGAAACUCGGGCUAAUACCGGAUGUGCUCACGCCACACCAGUGGCGUGAGCAAAGGAAGCUUCGGCCUCCGCAUCGGGAUGGGCCCGCGGCCCAUUAGCUUGUUGGUGGGGUAAUGGCCUACCAAGGCGACGAUGGGUAGCUGGUCUGAGAGGACGAUCAGCCACACUGGGACUGAGACACGGCCCAGACUCCUACGGGAGGCAGCAGUGGGGAAUCUUGCGCAAUGCGCGAAAGCGUGACGCAGCAACGCCGCGUGGGGGAAGACGGCCUUCGGGUUGUAAACCCCUUUCAGUUGGGACGAAGCCCGGUCGGUGAACAGCCGCGCCGGGUGACGGUACCUUCAGAAGAAGCCCCGGCCAACUACGUGCCAGCAGCCGCGGUAAUACGUAGGGGGCAAGCGUUGUCCGGAAUCAUUGGGCGUAAAGCGCGUGUAGGCGGCUCGGUAAGUCCGAUCUGAAAGCCCGGGGCUCAACCCUGGGAGGCGGUCGGAUACUGCUGAGCUCGAGUCCGGAAGAGGCGAGUGGAAUUCCUGGUGUAGCGGUGAAAUGCGCAGAUAUCAGGAGGAACACCAAUGGCGAAGGCAGCUCGCUGGGACGGUACUGACGCUGAGACGCGAAAGCGUGGGGAGCGAACAGGAUUAGAUACCCUGGUAGUCCACGCCGUAAACGAUGGACACUAGGUGUGGGAGGUGUCGACUCCUUCCGUGCCGAAGCUAACGCAUUAAGUGUCCCGCCUGGGGAGUACGGCCGCAAGGCUAAAACUC